AUGUCUCCUCAAGAUAACUCAUCCAGGCGCAUCACCAUGCCCUCCUCACUUGUCACUGUCGAUCACACCGAGCUCUGCAUCGAUGGCAUUGUGUGCGGUCUCGAGGUCUUCAUCGAGGAAUAUGUCCCAGUGCCCAUCCCAGCGGAUGAAGAACUCCGUGUCCUCCAAGUACUUGACACGGUGCACGUCCCCAGCAGGCGUGAACAGGAAGUCCCCGUCGACGAGGCCAUAGCUCUCCUUCUUGGUCAAGUUCCACACCUUCUUCUUGCCCUUGAUCACCACCAGGUCGUGGCCGAAGGUGUGGUGGUGGGCCGGCUCCACGCUUCCAGCUUUGAACCGCACGUAGGCCGAAGUGGGGCUCUCCCGCACAAUCCGCAUCUCGCCGCCGGGCAUGAUGUCCACCGGCUCGAACUCCAUCCCCUUCCUCAGGCAGCAGAUGGCGCAGGCGGAGUCCGGCGCAGGAGGGGCCGCCAAUCCCUCGGGGAUGGAGGCCAUCUCGCCGGGGGCAACGUCAAAGAACUUCUGAAUGUCCUCCGGCCAAGGGGCGUCGCCGGACGCGGGGCAGGGGGCGCGGAAGGGGGUGGCGAGCCAGGCGUCGGCGAUGACCGCGGCGGCCUCCGGCGGGGUGGCCAUGCCGGAGAGGGCGAGGACGUUGCAGGCGUUGAUGGAGCGGGUGUUGACGGCGUCGGCGGCGGAGCUGCAGUGGGUGGCGUACACGCCGGGGUACUUGUUGGCGAAGAUGGUGACGCCGGCGCCGGUGCCGCAGACGACGACGCCGCGGGGCUCGAGCGCGGGGUCGGGGACCGAGGAGGAGACGCUGCGGGCGACGGCGGCGGCCGCGGAGUAGUACUUGUCGACGCCGAGGUCGACGACGUCGGCGACGGAGGAGUGGGCGCGGAGGUGCGCGACGACGGCGUCCUUGAGCGGCUCCCCGAAGCCGUCGGCGGCCGCGAAGAUCUUGAAGCGGCGGCUGCCGGUGGAGGCGGCCAUCGGCGGUUGACUUGCGGGGCUCGAUCUGAGAUUUGGGUGCGGAGCAGAGGAAGCAGUGGUUAG
rnacentral:rRNA from 1 species